AAAAGUCUUUAGGAGUGCCUCAGGCAUUUCACCUUCCCUUCUUGUGGCUCCUGUCUCAUGGUUCAGCACCCAGCUGGGCAGGGAAGCUUUGGUGGGGUGGCUGUCCCGAGAUGGGCUGAAGCACAAAGCAGAAGUUCUCCCUGCAGGCUGUAAGCGACACUCAGCCCCAGCGGCAGCACAGGACUGAACCGACAGCUAACUCCACGCUUUAGGGACUCUGCUACCUCUGCUUCGUUUGCCAACAGGAGCUGAGGUCUCUUAGGGUUUCCUCUCCUGUAUUCCUCCUGAGCAGCAGGAAAACAAAACCAAUUUGGGGGCUUCCUAUGCCACAGCCUGCAGCGCAGCUCAGGCACCCUGCUUAUGGCCAGGGAGACCGCCUGGCUGCUGCCGCCGAGCCGCGGGGCUGGCCGGAGAGCCGCGGAGCGCAGGGCGAGGGAGAAGGGAAAUUACAUGCUUGGCUUUGCAGACAGAAUGAAUCUCCUGGCAGUGCCAGUGUGUCCUCUGGAGCGAAAGGUCUCACCGCCUCUGGUUUGAUCACAGCAGGACUCGCACACAUGCCUCGGCUUAACCCCUGCGUUAUCAGCCCUCUGCCUGCUUUCAGGGCUGGUGGUACUGCUAACCAGGGGGUCUGCUCUGACUUCAAACUACACAAAGCCCAAUCCAGAGGCAGAAGAUAACUCCCCAGGCACAAGUCCUGAAAGAAUGGUAUUUAAAAUCGGCCUGCUUUUCUGCCUCCCCCUGUUUACUUUAACGCACUGGUGUCAACCUCUAAACUGCACUUGAAUUAAUUCAAGGCUUUCUCACUUUGACAAUAGGUCAGUGUGAAGAUGAAAUCAAACACACACCUGGAGAGCAUUAGACAGUCAAGAAGGGUUUUUUGAAUGCAUCUGGCUCUCGGAAGAUGAUUCAGAUACAACGAUGGAGAUGGCUGAAAUAAAAACCCAGCCUGUUAC